rnacentral:rRNA from 1 species
AACGAACGCUGGCGGCAUGCCUAACACAUGCAAGUCGAACGAGACCUUCGGGUCUAGUGGCGCACGGGUGCGUAACGCGUGGGAACCUGCCCUUAGGUUCGGAAUAACUCCCCGAAAGGGGUGCUAAUACCGGAUAAUGUCUUCGGACCAAAGAUUUAUCGCCUUUGGAUGGGCCCGCGUUGGAUUAGCUAGUUGGUAGGGUAAAAGCCUACCAAGGCGACGAUCCAUAGCUGGUCUGAGAGGAUGUUCAGCCACACUGGGACUGAGACACGGCCCAGACUCCUACGGGAAGCAGCAGUGGGGAAUAUUGGACAAUGGGCGAAAGCCUGAUCCAGCAAUGCCGCGUGAGUGAUGAAGGCCUUAGGGUUGUAAAGCUCUUUUACCCGGGAUGAUAAUGACAGUACCGGGAGAAUAAGCUCCGGCUAACUCCGUG